rnacentral:rRNA from 1 species
UACGUAGGGUGCAAGCGUUAAUCGGAAUUACUGGGCGUAAAGCGUGCGCAGGCGGUUUUGUAAGUUUGUCGUGAAAGCCCCGGGCUCAACCUGGGAAUUGCGAUGAAGACUGCAAGGCUUGAAUCUGGCAGAGGGGGGUAGAAUUCCACGGUGUAGCAGUGAAAUGCGUAGAGAUGAUGGAGGAACACCGAUGGCGAAGGCAGCCCCCUGGGUCAAGAUUGACGCUCAUGCACGAAAGCGUGGGGAGCAAAC